GAGUGGACGAACCGCUGGUGUUCGGGUUGUCAUGCCAAUGGCAUUGCCCGGUAGCUAUGUUCGGAACGGAUAACCGCUGAAAGCAUCUAAGCGGGAAGCCGGCCUCAAGAUGAGACUUCCAUGCCUACGGGCGAGAGGCUCCCAGCAGACUACUGGGUUGAUAGGCCAGAUGUGGAAGCGUGGUAACACGUGCAGCUGACUGGUACUAAUAAGCCGAUGACUUGAUAACACA
rnacentral:rRNA from 1 species